AGAGUUUGAUCCUGGCUCAGGAUGAACGCUAGCUACAGGCUUAACACAUGCAAGUCGAGGGGCAGCAUGAUCUGUGCUUGCACAGAUUGAUGGCGACCGGCGCACGGGUGAGUAACGCGUAUCCAACCUUCCCCUUAGUAGGGCAUAGCCCGGCGAAAGUCGGAUUAAUACCCUAUGUUUUCCAAUGAGGACAUCUGAGCUGGAAUAAAGAUUCAUCGCUAAGGGAUGGGGAUGCGUCCGAUUAGGUUGUUGGCGGGGUAACGGCCCACCAAGCCUUCGAUCGGUAGGGGUUCUGAGAGGAAGGUCCCCCACACUGGUACUGAGACACGGACCAGACUCCUACGGGAGGCAGCAGUGAGGAAUAUUGGUCAAUGGGCGAGAGCCUGAACCAGCCAAAGUAGCGUGCAGGAUGACGGCCCUAUGGGUUGUAAACUGCUUUUAUACGGGGAUAAAGUGGGGGACGUGUCCCUUAUUGUAGGUACCGUAUGAAUAAGGACCGGCUAAUUCCGUGCCAGCCGCGGC
rnacentral:rRNA from 1 species